rnacentral:lncRNA from 1 species
AUGAGAUCGGGGAGAUUGACAGCCCUGUCCGCCAAACGACAAGCGGGCGGGCCCCUCGGCGCCGCGGGGGCAGCUGGGAGUUGUAGUUCUCGGGACGUGGCCGUCGAUCGAAAGAGGUCCCGGGCCUUCCUUACCCUGCCGUUGCAAGGCAAGCGGGCUCCCUUCUUCCUCCCUCUCCCCCGCCCUCCUGGCGCUCAAACAGUAGCAGGUUGCAAGAGCCGCAGGAGGCAAGGAGGAAGCGGUGGGGAGUUGCCCAGAGAGAGCUUGCCUCCCGGGCGUUGUCGUGCGUGGCCAUUGGCAGCAAAUAGCCGGAGGAGGCAGACGUACAAGGCGGCUGCCAAGAAGUGGAGGCCGAGACCCCAUCAGGACCCCCAUUUCGCACUCCGCAUUUUGCCGGCCGCCGCUGGCCUCGCAGCCUGUGUCCGGCCGCACUGGAGGAGGUUGAGGUGUGAAACGUUUCACCUGACAACUUGCUCCCGAUGGCUCAACCCAGAUGCAGCUAUGGGGCGGGUGAGGGGGUCGUUCUGCGCUAGCCGGGCACCGGGUCCUCUGCUCAACUGCCUGUCUUGGAGUCCAGAGAACAGUUGGAAACCCACCUCAGCAGGGUGUGUGUGCAUAGGUAAGGAUGAGGACUGCUGUUCCACUCUCAUUUAUUCAGAUACUUUCCAAACACCAGUGUAUUCUCCUCUCCAGCAGCAUAGCCUAAUGGAUAGAGCAAGGGCCUGGGAAUCAGAAGGCCCCGGGUUCUAAUAUUGACUCUGCCUCUUGUCUGCUUUGUGACUUUCGGCAACUCACCUCAUUUCUCUGUGCCUCAGUCGCCUCAUCCAUAAAAAUGGGAAUUAAGACCGUGAGCCCCAUGUGGGACGGGGCUCUGCCAACCUGAUUAGCUUGUAUC